rnacentral:rRNA from 1 species
GAUGAACGCUGGCGGUGUGCCUAAUACAUGCAAGUCGAGCGAACAGACGAGGAGCUUACUCCUCUGACGUUAGCGGCGGACGGGUGAGUAACACGUGGAUAACCUACCUAUAAGACUGGGAUAACUUCGGGAAACCGGAGCUAAUACCGGAUAACAUGUUGAACCGCAUGGUUCAACAGUGAAAGACGGUUUUGCUGUCACUUAUAGAUGGAUCCGCGUCGCAUUAGCUAGUUGGUAAGGUAACGGCUUACCAAGGCAACGAUGCGUAGCCGACCUGAGAGGGGGAUCGGCCACACUGGAACUGAGACACGGUCCAGACUCCUACGGGAGGCAGCAGUAGGGAAUCUUCCGCAAUGGGCGAAAGCCUGACGGAGCAACGCCGCGUGAGUGAAGAAGGUCUUCGGAUCGUAAAACUCUGUUAUUAGGGAAGAACAAAUGUGUAAGUAACUAUGCACGUCUUGACGGUACCUAAUCAGAAAGCCACGGCUAACUACGUG